GGUGUCCCUAGGUGUCUCCUCAGUGUCCCCUGCUGUCCCCUGACCCCCCCCCACCCGUUGUGCCCCAGACUCUGAUGAUGACGAUGAUGAGGAUGAGGACGAUGAAGGCCGCAGGGGGUCCCCGCACGACCUUGGGGACACUGGGGAGACCCGGGUGACACCCAGGGACAGCAGCGGCGGCGCCAUCCUGGUCACCGUGCCCUGGGGCCGCGUCACCGCCGAGUGUCCCCCCGAGGGGGGUCUCCCCGGCUCGCGGCUGGAGCUGGAGCUGGGGGAGGGGCGGCUCUGUGUCCUCCCCCGCCCGGGGGGGGUGCGGGGCCUGUCCCGGGCCUGCGCCGACGCCCGGAGCCUGCGCCUGCUGCACGGUACCGAAAUACCCCGAAAUCACCCCAAAAUCAGCCCAAAACCACCCCAAAAUCAGCCCAAAAACACCCUAAAACCACCCCAAAAACACCCUAAAAAUAACGCAAAAAUAACCCAAAACCGGGGCGUGCGAGGCCUAUCCCGGGCCUGCGCUGAUGCUUGGAGCCUGCGUUUGCUGCACGGUACCAAAAUACCCCGAAAUUACCCAAACGUCAACCCACAAACACCCCAAAAACGGGGGGCGGGACCCCAAAAUUGGGGAGAGGGUUGGUGGAAAUGGGGGGGGUGGGGGAGAAACAAAACCGGGUUUGGGUGUGUGGGGGCAGAAUGGGGGGGCCCAAACCGUGGGGAGGGGUCCCAAGAUGGCGGGGGGGUGGUGAGGGAGGGGAUGUCAAAAAUGGGGAUUUGGAUCUCUGUUUUUUUGGGGGGGUCGUUCUUUCGGGGGGGGGCUCGUGCCCCAUUUUGGGGGUCCCCAGCCCCUCCCCCACCAUGUCCCCUCCCCCCCAGGCCCGGUGCCCGCGGAGGGGGCGGGGCCGGGGCCGCCCCCCCCCCUGCUGCCCACCCUGGUGCCCUGGGAGGAGCCCGCGCCCCCCCCCGGGACCCCCCCGCAGCCCCCGCGCAUGAUGGCGCUGGCCAUGGGCGGGACAUUGAGCGCCAACGGGGACACCAAGGAGCUGGAGGUGGCGCUGGCCCUGGAGGGGCUGAUGCUGAAACACCGACCCGACCCCCCCGGGACCCCCUGGUACCAACAGGUGAGAGGGGGGGACCCCAAUUUGGGGAGGGGUUUGGGGUUCCUGAGUUUGGGGCUCUGGUUUUUUGGGUUUCUGAUUUUGGGGUUCUUGUUUCUGAGGUCCCCAUUUUUGGGGCUGUUUUGCUCAUUCCCAUUUUUGGAGUUCUUUUGGGUCUCCGGGGGGUUGGGGUUCUCUUGGGGGUUUUUCUGGUUUUGUGGGUGUUUUUGGGGUUUUCUCACUUUUGGGUUGUUUAAUGGGGUUUUCUCAUUUUUGGUGUUCUGGGCUCUCCCUUUUCCUCCUUUCCCAGCUGCUGUCCCUGGAGGACAAGCCGGUUUUGGGGUAUUUUCCUGGGGUUUUCUAAUUUCUGGGGUUUUUUUACAGGAUUUUCUCAGUUUUGGUGUUUUUUUCUGGUUUUUUUCACGGGUUUUUCUCAUUUUUGGGGUUCCCAGCUGCUGUCCCUGCUGGCCCUGGAGGACGAGCCGGUUUUGGGGUAUACGCCCCCCACGCCCCUGACCCAGCUGCACCUGCACCUUCAGCGCUGCGGCCUCGACUACAGGUGGGCACCCCAAAAACGGGGAGGGCACCCCAAAAACGGGGAUCCCAAAAACGGGGGGGUCCCAAAAUGGGGAUCCCAAAAACGGGGAGGGCACCCCAAAAAUGGGGAUCCCAAAAACGGGGGGGUCCCAAAAUGGGGGAGGGGAAAUCCCAAAAUGGGGGGAUAAAUGGGGGUCCUGGGAGGGGGGAGACCCCGAAAUUGGGAUCCCAAAAUGGGGGCUCUGAGAGGGGGUGACCCCAAAAUGGGGAGGGUCCUGCAAGGGGGCAUCACCCCAA
ensembl:lncRNA